UUUUUUUUUUGUCGGGACCUGGGAGAGAAAAUCAUCCCGCAGAGGGGGAAAAAGGGAGAGAAGAAACAAGUUACAAACCCCGCGGGAAUGUACGAGGUCGCUGUUUAGUCGGUCUACAAUGCAAGCGGACGUGCUUUCAACCGUGAAUUCAUAACCAGGAGGUUUCUGUGUGGUAGUGCAACCCUCUCGAGCACCCGUCAUGCUGAGUUUCCUGCGCAGGACGCUGGGGCGGCGCUCCAUCCGGAAACACGCAGAGAAGAGCCGUUUGCGGGAGGCCCAGCGCGCCACGACGCACAUCCCUGCUGCCGGGGAUGCAAAGUCUAUCAUCACCUGCCGCGUGUCCCUACUGGACGGGACGGACGUCAGCGUUGACCUGCCG